AACGCUAGCUACAGGCUUAACACAUGCAAGUCGAGGGGUAACAAGAGAAAAGCUUGCUUUUCUUGUUGACGACCGGCGCACGGGUGAGUAACGCGUAUCCAACCUGCCUAUAACUAGGGAAUAACCUUGCGAAAGUAAGACUAAUACCCUAUGAUUUCCUUGAUGACAUCAGAUUAGGAAUAAAGAUUUAUCGGUUAUAGAUGGGGAUGCGUCUGAUUAGCUUGUUGGCGGGGUAACGGCCCACCAAGGCAACGAUCAGUAGGGGUUCUGAGAGGAAGGUCCCCCACAUUGGAACUGAGACACGGUCCAAACUCCUACGGGAGGCAGCAGUGAGGAAUAUUGGUCAAUGGGCGGAAGCCUGAACCAGCCAAGUAGCGUGCAGGAUGACGGCCCUAUGGGUUGUAAACUGCUUUUAUACAGGAAUAAAGUUAGCCACGUGUGGUUAUUUGUAGGUACUGUAUGAAUAAGGACCGGCUAAUUCCGUGCCAGCAGCCGCGGUAAUACGGAAGGUCCAGGCGUUAUCCGGAUUUAUUGGGUUUAAAGGGAGCGUAGGCCGUCUGUUAAGCGUGUUGUGAAAUGUAGAUGCUCAACAUCUGAAUUGCAGCGCGAACUGGCAGACUUGAGUGUGCGCAACGUAGGCGGAAUUCGUGGUGUAGCGGUGAAAUGCUUAGAUAUCACGAAGAACUCCGAUUG
rnacentral:rRNA from 1 species